rnacentral:lncRNA from 1 species
AUCUCCAAAAAGCCAUUUUGUAACCAGUUAGAGGUACACAAAGUCGCCUGUUUUUGAAACACUUUAUCGUUCGUGAAACACUCAAGCUUCAUUGUAUCAAUAUGCAACUCAAGAACAAAAUGAGUCUCAGAGGGGGAAAAGAUGGUAUUUCUAGUUAAAGAGUGACGUGGCUACUAACGCAUGCAUUGAUUUACUGAGUAAAAAAUAUUAAUAAAAAGCAUAAACAUUGGUUAGUAUUGUGUGUGAGUUUUGUUUGCAUGAAUUGUAUUCUCUUGGAGUUAUUCAAGAAUAAAGCAAGAAAAUCC